AUUGAACGCUGGCGGCAGGCCUAACACAUGCAAGUCGAACGAGUGGCGGACGGGUGAGUAAUGUCUGGGAAACUGCCUGAUGGAGGGGGAUAACUACUGGAAACGGUAGCUAAUACCGCAUACCAUCAGAUGUGCCCAGAUGGGUUUAGCUUGUUGGUGGGGUAACGGCUCACCAAGGCGACGAUCCCUAGCUGGUCUGAGAGGAUGACAGCCCACAUUGGAACUGAAACACGGUCAGUAUUCUUCGGGGAGGCAGCAGUGGGGAAUGUUGCACAAUGGGCGCAAGCCUGAUGCAGCAAUGCCGCGUGUAUGAGGAAGGCCUUCGGGUUGUAAAGUACUUUCAGCGGGGAGGCGUUACCCGCAGAAGAAGCACCGGCUAACUCCGUGCCAGCAGCCGCGGUAAUUC
rnacentral:rRNA from 1 species